rnacentral:tRNA from 1 species
GGUGGCUCAGAGGUAGAGUUCUUGCUUUGCAAGCAUUAGGCCCUAGGUUCGAAUCCUCAGCACCA